UAUGUACUCCCUCCGUCCGAAAAUACUUGUCAUCAAAAUGGACAAAAAGGGAUGUAUCUAAAACUAAAAUACAUCUAGAUACAUCCAUUUUUAUUCAUUUUGAUGACAAGUAUUUCCGGACGGAGGAAGUAUGAG
rnacentral:pre_miRNA from 1 species